UUAGUGUGCCAGGACACCUCCAAGUGUAAGUGGGGCUCUCCAGCACACCUGGAUGUGGAGGUGUGAUGCAGAGUGGUGGCUGCUCGUGACACUCAUUUCACCCCUUUCUGUGCAGGUGCCAGAAGCCCAGGAAGCACACAUCAAGGCUCGCUUGCCAGCGGGGUGCUGCCAAUAAAAUGUAGUCACGUGGAAUUUGGGAUGUGGAAAGGAGGUAGAAGUCAUCCUUUCCUCCCCCAUAGCAGCAGGUGUGCAGGCUCUGGUGGUCAGCUGGACUCCAUACUCCCCCACCAGUCACCAGCCUGGGGACCGUGGGGCUGCAAGGACCUCAGCAGCAGUUUCCCAAGUUUCCUGACUUCUUCCAUCCUCUGGAAAUCAGCUGUGAGCUAUCAGCUUCCCAGUUUGCACAAUUCAUCAAGAAAUUAUGCGGGGUCACUGGCACAAAUGAUGAGGCAUCUCCUGGAAGCUUAACUUCUUAUCCAUCCCAUCUCUUGGACAGAUGAUGCCAGUUAAUUACUUUGAAUGCUCCUCCACCAAGCCAAGGCCAGACUCCUGCAAUCAUAGGAUGGCAACACCACCUCUAAAGCACAGAACUUCAGCCUUUGCUUCGGAAGUGGCACCAUGGUCUCUUCAUUUUCCCUUUCUUCAAGGUCAGAAAACUGAAGCUGUUAGGAGUUUUAGUGUUAAGUUCCUUCCGAGGAUGUUAAUUAGGCUUCAAACUGUUUUGUUCUGAGAAAUAAAAACUAAACUCCAGUCAUUCAAGCUAA
rnacentral:lncRNA from 1 species